CUGUAUGGUAUAAGAAAGAUGCCCAACCUGCGGCCCUCCAGCUGUUGCAAAACUACAACUCCCAACACUGCCCGAUAUCUGUAGGCUGUCCAGUAAUUCUGGGAAUUGUAGUUUUGCAACAGCUGGAGGGCCGCAGGUUGGGCAUCCCCGC